rnacentral:sRNA from 1 species
UCCCUCGCGGGUGCACCGCCGAC